UACGUAGGGGGCAAGCGUUGUCCGGAAUUAUUGGGCGUAAAGAGCGUGUAGGCGGUCCGGUAAGUCGGCUGUGAAAGUCCAGGGCUCAACCCUGGGAUGCCGGUCGAUACUGCCGGACUAGAGUUCGGAAGAGGCGAGUGGAAUUCCCGGUGUAGCGGUGAAAUGCGUAGAUAUCGCUUGGAACGCCAAUGGUGAAAACAGCUCGCUGGGGGUGUGCUGACGCUGAGACACGAAAGCCAGGGGAGCGAACGGG
rnacentral:rRNA from 1 species